AACGCGAAGAACCUUACCUGGGCUCGAACGACUGGUGGUAGCCUGAAUGAAAGUUUAGGCGACCCGCAAGGGAGCCAGCCGAGGUGCUGCAUGGUUGUCGUCAGCUCGUGUCGUGAGAUGUUGGGUUAAGUCCCGCAACGAGCGCAACCCCUGUCCUGUGUUGCUACCCGCAAGGGAGGACUCUCAGGAGACUGCCGCGGAUAACGUGGAGGAAGGUGGGGAUGACGUCAAAUCAUCAUGGCCUUUAUGUCCAGGGCUACACACGUGCUACAAUGGCGUAUACAGAGGGAAGCAAUACCGCAAGGUGGAGCCAAUCCCUAAAGUACGCCUCAGUUCGGAUUGUGGGCUGCAAUUCGCCCACAUGAAGGUGGAAUCGCUAGUAAUCGCAGAUCAGCAAGCUGCGGUGAAUACGUUCCCGGGCCUUGUACACACCGCUAGUC
rnacentral:rRNA from 1 species